UCAGGACGAACGCUGGCGGCGUGCUUAACACAUGCAAGUCGAACGCUGAAGCUUGGUGCUUGCACUGGGUGGAUGAGUGGCGAACGGGUGAGUAAUACGUGAGUAACCUGCCCUUGACUCUGGGAUAAGCCUGGGAAACUGGGUCUAAUACUGGAUACGACAUGUCACCGCAUGGUGGUGUGUGGAAAGGGUUUUACUGGUUUUGGAUGGGCUCACGGCCUAUCAGCUUGUUGGUGGGGUAAUGGCUCACCAAGGCGACGACGGGUAGCCGGCCUGAGAGGGUGACCGGCCACACUGGGACUGAGACACGGCCCAGACUCCUACGGGAGGCAGCUGUGGGGAAUAUUGCACUAUGGGCGAAAGCCUGAUGCAGCGACGCCGCGUGAGGGAUGACGGCCUUCGGGUUGUAAACCUCUUUCAGCACGGAAGAAGCGAAAGUGACGGUACGUGCAGAAGAAGCGCCGGCUAACUACGUGCCAGCAGCCGCGGUAAUACGUAGGGCGCAAGCGUUGUCCGGAAUUAUUGGGCGUAAAGAGCUCGUAGGCGGUUUGUCGCGUCUGCUGUGAAAGCCCGGGGCUUAACCCCGGGUGUGCAGUGGGUACGGGCAGACUUGAGUGCAGUAGGGGAGACUGGAAUUCCUGGUGUAGCGGUGAAAUGCGCAGAUAUCAGGAGGAACACCGAUGGCGAAGGCAGGUCUCUGGGCUGUUACUGACGCUGAGGAGCGAAAGCAUGGGGAGCGAACAGGAUUAGAUACCCUGGUAGUCCAUGCCGUAAACGUUGGGCACUAGGUGUGGGGAACAUUCCACGUUUUCCGCGCCGUAGCUAACGCAUUAAGUGCCCCGCCUGGGGAGUACGGCCGCAAGGCUAAAACUCAAAGGAAUUGACGGGGGCCCGCACAAGCGGCGGAGCAUGCGGAUUAAUUCGAUGCAACGCGAAGAACCUUACCAAGGCUUGACAUACACCGGACCGGGCCAGAGAUGGUCUUUCCCCCUUUGUGGGGCUGGUGUACAGGUGGUGCAUGGUUGUCGUCAGCUCGUGUCGUGAGAUGUUGGGUUAAGUCCCGCAACGAGCGCAACCCUCGUUCUAUGUUGCCAGCACGUGAUGGUGGGGACUCAUAGGAGACUGCCGGGGUCAACUCGGAGGAAGGUGGGGAUGACGUCAAAUCAUCAUGCCCCUUAUGUCUUGGGCUUCACGCAUGCUACAAUGGCCAGUA
rnacentral:rRNA from 1 species